rnacentral:rRNA from 1 species
UACGUAGGCAGCGAGCGUUGUUCGGAGUUACUGGGCGUAAAGCGUGCGUAGGCGGUUUUGUAAGUUUGGUGUGAAAUCUCCCGGCUCAACUGGGAGGGUGCGCCGAAAACUGCAAGGCUGGAGUGUGGGAGAGGUAGGCGGAAUUCCUGGUGUAGCGGUGAAAUGCGUAGAUAUCUAGAGGAACGCCAAAGGUGUAGACAGGCGACUGGGCCAAUUCUGACGCUGAGGCACGAAAGCGUGGGUAGCGAACGGG